AUUCCAUUGGUUUAGAACUG
rnacentral:misc_RNA from 1 species